AACGCGAAGAACCUUACCUGGGCUUGAACCGCACAGGACCAGCUUCAGAAAUGAGGCCUUCCCGCAAGGGACCUGUGUAGAGGUGCUGCAUGGCUGUCGUCAGCUCGUGCCGUGAGGUGUUGGGUUAAGUCCCGCAACGAGCGCAACCCUUACUCAUAGUUGCUACCCGCAAGGGAGAACUCUAUGAGGACUGCUCCGGAUAACGGAGAGGAAGGUGGGGAUGAGGUCAAGUCAGCAUGGCCUUUAUGUCCAGGGCUACACACGUGUUACAAUGCGCGCCACAAAGCGUCGCGAACCCGCGAGGGGGAGCUAAUCGCAAAAAGCGCGCUCAGUUCGGAUUGCAGUCUGCAACUCGACUGCAUGAAGCCGGAAUCGCUAGUAAUGGCGCAUCAGAACGGCGCCGUGAAUACGUUCCCGGGCCUUGUA
rnacentral:rRNA from 1 species